rnacentral:rRNA from 1 species
GACGAACGCUGGCGGCGUGCUUAACACAUGCAAGUCGAACGGUGAAGGGACUGGUUUUGCUGGCCCUGGAUGAGUGGCGAACGGGUGAGUAACACGUGAGUAACCUGCCCCCUUCUUCUGGAUAACCGCAUGAAAGUGUGGCUAAUACGGGAUAUUCUGGGUCUGUCGCAUGGUGGGCCUGGGAAAGAUUGCGCCUUUUUUGGUGUUUUUGGUGGGGGAUGGGCUCGCGGCCUAUCAGCUUGUUGGUGGGGUGAUGGCCUACCAAGGCGGUGACGGGUAGCCGGCCUGAGAGGGUGGACGGUCACACUGGGACUGAGACACGGCCCAGACUCCUACGGGAGGCAGCAGUGGGGAAUAUUGCACGAUGGGCGCAAGCCUGAUGCAGCGACGCCGCGUGAGGGAUGGAGGCCUUCGGGUUGUGAACCUCUUUCGCCAGUGAAGCAGGCCUGCCUCUUUUUGUGGGUGGGUUGACGGUAGCUGGAUAAGAAGCGCCGGCUAAUUACGUG